rnacentral:rRNA from 1 species
CACGUAGGCGGACUUUCAAGUCAGGGGUGAAAUCCCGGAGCUCAACUUCGGAAUUGCCUUUGAUACUGUUGGUCUCGAGUCCGGAAGAGGUGGGUGGAAUUCCUAGUGUAGAGGUGAAAUCCGUAGAUAUUAGGAAGAACACCGGUGGCGAAGGCGGCCCACUGGUCCAGUACUGACGCUGAGGUGCGAAAGCGUGGGGAGAAAC